CUAGAGUUUUGGAGAUUCUUGAGGAUUCCGGGGCUGUUCCGGAUGUUAUUACUUACAAUGUGUUGAUUAGUGGUUAUUGUAAGUCUGGAGAAAUUGAUAAUGCUUUGAAAGUCUUGGACCGAAUGAGCGUUGCACCCGAUGUGGUCACGUACAAUACAAUUUUGCGUACCUUAUGUGAUAGUGGAGUCUUGGACCGAAUGAGCGUUGCACCUGAUGUGGUCACGUACAAUACAAUUUUGCGUACCUUAUGUGAUAGUGGGAAAUUGAAACAAGCUAUGCACGUUCUUGACCGUAUGUUGCAGAGGGAGUGUUACCCUGAUGUGAUUACCUAUACAAUUUUGAUCGAAGCAACGUGUAAGGAAAGUGGCGUGGGGCAAGCAAUGAAGC
rnacentral:lncRNA from 1 species